rnacentral:lncRNA from 1 species
CAUGGUAGUUGAUACCAUUUAUUAUAAUCCACUUGUAGUUUUAAGAAUUCGAGGAUUACUUCAUACAUACUCCAUACUAUGCUACGAAUUGUCGAUCCCUAAAACCAUUAGAAUCUUGUUAGCUUGGACGGCAGAAAUUUUUGGAACUACAGUUGAGCUUCAAUUCCAUGGCUGCCUUUCCAUUUCCCUACACUGACUCUCUCGCAAAACCUUCCAUUUCAAAGUCCUUAACUACCCG